UACGGAGGGUGCAAGCGUUGUUCGGAUUUAUUGGGCGUAAAGGGCGUGUAGGCGGUUCGUUUAGUCUGAUGUGAAAGCCCCGGGCUCAACCCGGGAAGUGCAUUGGAAACUGGCGAACUUGAGUACGGGAGAGGGCAGUGGAAUUCCUAGUGUAGGAGUGAAAUCCGUAGAUAUUAGGAGGAACACCGGUGGCGAAGGCGGCUGCCUGGACCGAUACUGACGCUGAGACGCGAAAGCGUGGGGAGCAAACAGG
rnacentral:rRNA from 1 species